AUUCGGAUAGAUUAAGAUAAAUCAUAUCAUUGAAGCUGAUAUAAUAGGGAAACCUUCUGAAUA
rnacentral:tRNA from 1 species